rnacentral:rRNA from 1 species
AACGCGAAGAACCUUACCUGGGCUUGAACUACUCGUGGUAAGCCGAUGGAAACAUUGGCUGACCCGCAAGGGAGCGAGCAGAGGUGCUGCAUGGUUGUCGUCAGCUCGUGUCGUGAGAUGUUGGGUUAAGUCCCGCAACGAGCGCAACCCCUACUCGAUGUUGCCACUCCCGCAAGGGAAGCACUCUUCGAGAACUGCCUUCGAUAAGAAGGAGGAAGGUGGGGACGACGUCAAAUCCUCAUGGCCCUUAUGUCCAGGGCUACACACGUGCUACAAUGGCCGGUACAACGGGAAGCAAUACCGUAAGGUGGAGCAAAACCCUGAAAGCCGGCCCCAGUUCAGAUUGUGGGCUGCAACUCGCCCACAUGAAGGCGGAAUCGCUAGUAAUCGCGAAUCAGCAGGUCGCGGUGAAUACGUUCCCGGGCCUUGUA